CGUUGGUUUUCUCGUUAAACCAACUGUAAAAAAAAAAAAAAGGUGCUGCCCUUUUUUAAAUUGGAAAAGAUUGUUUGCUACUCUGGUUCCGUUUCAUCCAAAUAUCGAUUAAUUGAAUGGAAAACUAAUACUUCUAUAGGUUUAGUUUUAUUGAAUUCCAAGUCAAAAUUCUAAGCCGAUUUUGUAUACAAUAAGUCGGUCUUAAAAUGUCGGGCUUAAUUAAUCAAAUAAAACUAGAUAUCUUAUCAAUAGAUGGCCACACUGUUUAGUGGAUCGUCUGCAGUAGAAAUUCAUGGUUCAUCAGAUGUGUCCUAGUUGUUAGGGAUUCGUUAAUAGUUUUUUAAACAAAAUGUAAAUUGGUAAAAUGAAAUAACAUAUGACCUAUACCUUUAGAUCACUUGUUUUCACAAAUGGAGAUUUAUUCCACAAGCUUCCUAGGCAGACACCCACCCACACAACCAUGGGUGAUAAAUGAUAUAAAAGUUUAUUAAUUUAAAAAAUUUAGAUUUUAGGUUAUUGAUAACAGAGUCAGGAAACAAUGUGUGGAAUCUGAUAUUCUAGCCCUGGAAACCACAGAUGCCUUUCUGCUUUAACAAGGCUAUAAAGCAAUUAUAAUUUCAGGAGGUAAAGACUGAAACCAAAAACAAAGCACAGAAUAUUUUAGUUGGCUUUUCUGCUUAAUGUUAUUGUUACACUUAACUUUUGGAAACAUAGAAGUGUAUACAGAUGUUCAGGGUCAAAUCGAUGAAAUGGUUGAGCCAAAAAAGAACUUCAUAUUACUUUUGCACAGGUCCUAACUCAGUGUACGUGGUUUAUGCCCCACAAUACAAUCCAAUAAACUUCAGGCUGAGGUCUUGAAGUGCUGAGGUCUUGCAGUGCUGAGAAUUUAUUUGGCAAGCAAAUACUCAAUAAGGAGUUAGGUGGAACAGUGGAGAGAAAAAUAUUCGCGAUGGGCAAUUUGAGAUCCAAGUAGAAACGGAGUGCCUAUUGUUUAAAGGCUUAGAGACUCGGCAAAUGGUAUUACAUGGUAAAUGGUUAAAUGGUAUUGUGACAGCUUAGACAAGGUUGCAGAAGGGUUGCGUUGCGUCGCAAAAUCUUCACAUCAUAUUAUUUCCGCUAUUGCUGAUAUUACUGAGUCCAGUUCCAUGAUUUGACUGAAAACGGACGAAAAAUGUUGCAUGCCUUCUUAUUCGAAAUCUGUGGAUUGCAAGGAGGUUUCACAUUGGAGAAACGCGAGCAGCAGUGUAACGAUUACAUCCGGCGCACGGUCGGACGUGAUAAGAUCGUGCUCAUGCUAGUAAGCGGUGGAGUCGAUUCCGCCGUUCGUGCCGCCCUUCUCCAUAAAGCACUUCUACAGGUGAUAACUCGUCGCGAGUGCAGGGCAUCUAUAUCCAUUCUUAUCUUUUUCUUUUUUUUUAAUUUUAUCUUUACGAAAAGAUACAAUAUGUUUGCUAAUUUACUUUAUUUACGUUAUUCACCGACAGUUUACAAGCGUUUUAGUAAUUUACCUUGGGCUACUUGAAAUUAUUAUUACAAGUUUCAUUUAAGUUCAUGGUAAAAGUUGAAAUUCAAAGUGUAUGUCUAAUGGCACAACGGUAUAGCAUCGGAGCGGUACGCAGAAGAUUUAGGGUUCGAUUCCCUAAAGAGUUCAGUUACAUUCCAAUGUAAAAAUAAAUUCCAUUGGGAAAAUUCUGAUUUAUGAGUUACAAAAUCUCUGAGUAAAAUUAGAGUGCCUUAACCAAAGACUUGUAAAGCCCUAUUCUACAACGUGGCUAUUGGUCGCAUAUACUGGAACAUUACAACUCAGAUGGAAAACGAACCCAUACUAUGAUGAUUAAUCCUAGUCAAUUUAAUGUUUGUUAAUAAUAAAAAACGAUUAAUUAAUGUCAUUACAUAUUAUCCAUCAUGGACACUGAAUUCCACUACAGCUGAAUGGGAUUCGAACCCAAGUUACAUCGUAUUCCAGCCCAUCGCUCUACCAUUGAGCUAUGAGAGAUACUACAUGGGGGGGUUGCCAGGAAGGUAUCGCAUCCGACUAGCAACUCGAAGGUCCGUGGUUCGAUUCCACGUGGGUUCCUGAUGUCCUGGGCUUCCAACAUUCCCAGGGGUCUACCUUCCCAGGAGCCAGUCGGGUCGAGAAACUUCCCCAUUACGAAGUAAUGGGACGGAUAUUUUGGUAAUCUUUAAUACAAUUCUCAAUAAUAAAUUUCAAUAAAUUGUUCAUUUCGAUUUAUCGACGUGACCGAGUAUUUUAUUACUUAAACACUUUGCAACGGACUUUAACCAUUGUCAUCCCCAGCCGAGAGAUCUCAUACAUAUAUCAGAUUGUAAUAUAUAUUUAUUAUGACUGAAACUGUUGAUUAUUUGAACAAUUCGGUUGACUCUUUCAGGAUUUGAACCUUUAACCUGUGGCGUUCCAUGCCGAUGCUCUACCAGUGAGCUAUAAGUCAUAUUAACAUGCUGUCUACAUUUUCGUGUUAAUUGAGUUAACAAAUUUGGACUUAGAAUAAUUUUUGUAGCAUGAUUCAAGACAAUUUCCUUUUAAUAUGUCUAUAAUAAAUACAUCUAAUAGAAUUGCAA